UACGUAGGGUGCAAGCGUUGUCCGGAAUUAUUGGGCGUAAAGAGCUCGUAGGCGGUUUGUCGCGUCUGCUGUGAAAACUCGGGGCUUAACUCCGGGCCUGCAGUGGGUACGGGCAGACUAGAGUGCGGUAGGGGAGACUGGAAUUCCUGGUGUAGCGGUGAAAUGCGCAGAUAUCAGGAGGAACACCUGAGGUGAAGACGGGUUGCUGGGCCAACACUGACGCUGAGGCGCGAAAGCCAGGGGAGCAAACGGG
rnacentral:rRNA from 1 species